rnacentral:rRNA from 1 species
GACGAACGCUGGCGGCGUGCCUAAUACAUGCAAGUUGAGCGCUGAAGGUUGGUACUUGUACCGACUGGAUGAGCAGCGAACGGGUGAGUAACGCGUGGGGAAUCUGCCUUUGAGCGGGGGACAACAUUUGGAAACGAAUGCUAAUACCGCAUAAAAACUUUAAACACAAGUUUUAAGUUUGAAAGAUGCAAAUGCAUCACUCAAAGAUGAUCCCGCGUUGCAUUAGCUAGUUGGUGAGGUAAAGGCUCACCAAGGCGAUGAUACAUAGCCGACCUGAGAGGGUGAUCGGCCACAUUGGGACUGAGACACGGCCCAAACUCCAACGGGAGGCAGCAGUAGGGAAUCUUCGGCAAUGGACGAAAGUCUGACCGAGCAACGCCGCGUGAGUGAAGAAGGUUUUCGGAUCGUAAAACUCUGUUGGUAGAGAAGAACGUUGGUGAGAGUGGAAAGCUCAUCAAGUGACGGUAACUACCCAGAAAGGGACGGCUAACUACGUGCCAGCCGCCGCCGUAA